rnacentral:rRNA from 1 species
GAUGAACGCUGGCGGCGUGCCUAAUACAUGCAAGUCGAGCGAACAGAUGAGGAGCUUGCUCCUCUGACGUUAGCGGCGGACGGGUGAGUAACACGUGGAUAACCUACCUAUAAGACUGGGAUAACUUCGGGAAACCGGAGCUAAUACCGGAUAAUAUAUUGAACCGCAUGGUUCAAUAGUGAAAGACGGUUUUGCUGUCACUUAUAGAUGGAUCCGCGCCGCAUUAGCUAGUUGGUAAGGUAACGGCUUACCAAGGCAACGAUGCGUAGCCGACCUGAGAGGGUGGGAGGCCACAUGUGAGAAUGACACGCGGCCCCGGCCCUGAGGGAGGGCCGAGAUGGGGAAUUUACCCAAAAGGGGGAAAGCUUGCAGGACGAACGCGAGGGGGGUGAAGAGGGGCUUCGGAUGGGAAAACGUUUUUUUGGGGGAAAACAAAAUGGGGAAGUAAAUAAGCGAGUUUUACGGUACCUGAAGAAGAAACCCCGGCUAACCACGUG